rnacentral:ncRNA from 1 species
GACCGGAAGGCCGUGUGGACUGUAUAGAAGAGAGAAUGUUGGCAUGAGUAGCGAGAGGUGAGUGAGAAUCUCACCCAUCGAAAGCCUAAGGUUUCCUGAGGAAGGCUCGUCCACUCAGGGUAAGUCGGGACCUAAGCCGAGGCCGAAAGGCGUAGGCGAUGGACAACUGGUUGAUAUUCCAGUACCACCUUUAAACGUUUGAGAGAUGGGGUGACACAGAAGGAUAGACUAUCGCACUGAUGGAAUAGU